AUCCUUAAGGUUUAUCCUUAACCUGCACCUGAGGUUUAUCCGAGGUGUGAUCCUUGCUAGCUGAAAACUUUACCCAAUACUCUGCCUGGGUGACUUGAAAAAUAGUCAGCUGUGGCAAUUUUUGAAGGUUUCAGGGCG